GGAAGCGUGGCCGAGCGGUUGAAGGCACCGGUCUUGAAAACCGGCGAGGGUUCACCCCCUCCGUGAGUUCGAAUCUCACCGCUUCCG
rnacentral:tRNA from 1 species